UGUGCUAAGGCCAAUUCGACCUCUAACCUGGUCAAACAGAAACGGGCAGAACUGAACCAUAAGAAAUCUCAAUUCUGGAAUUUUCUCAACAACCAUAGAAAUCACCAAAUCUUCCACACAAACCCACAAAAGUGAUAUAUAAACCAUCAUUAACCCUUAUUAGCAUCUUACAACAUCAAAAACAACAUUUUCUACCCAAUUGCUAUAAGCUUUUACAAGAGUUCAAGGCUGCUUUACCUUUCAAAGGUGGGUUUACAAGGCUGCACUUCAAGAACCAAGUUCAUUAGCUUUCUUUUGCUCUAACUCCCAAACUUGUUGGAUGGGUUGAACAAAAUCAGAAUUUUUUUCUUGUUCUUUCUCUUAUUUUCUCUUGGUUUUUCUCCCCUCUUUUCUCCCUAGAGCUGGCUGAAAUUCUCCUUGUUGUUUUGGCCUUUGGUCUUGCUAAGAAGAUAUUAACUACGUCCCUUGGUCAAAGUCCACUACCUUUUUGAUUAGCCAAUGAAAAUUAAGCUUAGGAAUAUCAUGGAACCUUUAGGAAGUCUAGCAACUUGUAAUCAACCAAAGUCACACUAUGGCCCAAAUUUCUUUUAAUCUUUACAAUUAACUCCAAUGAGUUGUCAAAAAUAUAACACAUUUACCGCACUAGCGGGUCCCACGUCCAUAAUACACUUCAAACUUAACGUGGACUAACUUGUAUCAAAGAAAUGAUUUGAAAACUAUAUUUCCUUAUAAAAAUGUAUAAGAAAUGAAUAUAUUGAAGAAAGGUACAAAAUUAUAGACAAGAAAACAAAAUAACGUCUAGAAAAUAUAUUAAAACAAAAAUUUUCGGAUUCUCAUACUCAUACUUUUCGGGGCGUCACAAUGUACACCUUUUGAUAUUUUGAUUAUUUCGAGUUUUCCAACCCUUAGCUCGUUGAUUGCAAUUUCGAGGACGAAAUUCUUUGAAGAAGGGGAGAUUGUGAUACCCCAAAUUUUAGGAUACUAUUUUUGUUUAAUCUCAAAGAAAGGAUUACGGUUUCUUUAUUUUAUUUUUGUCUUAAAACAUUGUUUUAUUUUAAAAAGACUAGAAACCUUACUUGUACUUUAAAACCCUAGUUUACUUGUGACUAGCAGGUUAUGUUUAAAUCUCUCAUAUUUGACUCAAAACCCUAAUUUUAUUCUAUGGAAUUGUAAAAUUCAUCACACUUUUCUUAAAAUUCCUUUUAUUUGGAAAUUAUUCAUUUAAUAUGAUUCUACUACUCAAGUACUCCACAACAAGUGCAAAUGAACCUAAAAAGUAGGGUUUCACUCUUCGUUUUCAAGAUUGGAGCAAAUUAGGGUUUUCGCGAUUUUUCGCCGGAUGAUUAUCCGGUACGGAGUGAUGAUCAAAUUUGGUGCUUAAGAGUGACUCUUGGAUGAGGAAAUAUUAUAUGAUUUGAAGUGAUAAUAAUAAGUUACUGAUUAGAAAGUAAAAACCCUAGUAUACGCGAUUUAAGAAAAAUCGGCUCGAACCGACGGGUACCGUUUGUUACCGGGUAAACACACCACUUGACCCAUACUUUAUUACCUUAAUCUUCUCAUUUUAUUUCAGCUAAUUAACCCUCAAAAUAUCUCAUACACCAGCCACAAUAUUUGACCAAGAAAACAAGAGAAAAGUAAAAAUUUUUUACUACCAAUCAACUUGUGACACUUGUCACCUUUGACCCAAAUCAAUUCCUAUCCUUUUAACCUUCUUUGAAUCUUUAAUUGCACUUCAUUUCAGCCUCUAUUUCUGCCAUAUGAACCGUGAGAAAGAGAGGGAAAAGCCAAGAGAAAGAAAUCAUAAUCCAUCUUGAGUUUGGUCCACUUAAGUGAGAAAACAAGAAAUCUAAACCGAUUAAUCAAUAGUUUGAGAGCUUGGGAAGCUUAAGGAACCAGAAAUUUCAAGAGGAGGUGAAGUAUUACUCUUGCAAGCCCUUUUGUUGAGGUAUAAGGUCUGACCCAUGGCUUUGGUUCUUUUAUUUUUGUUUAAGAUGUUAUAUAGCUUGUGUUUUGGUUAGAUUAGUAGCUAUACAAGUUGUUGUGAUGAUUUUGGGGUGAUGUAUAUGACUUUGGGUUUGACUGAUUUCCUUCUUAUACUUGUUUUAGGAGUGGUAUAUGAUGUAUAUAGGCUUGUAUAAGAGGUUGUGGUAGUGAUUGAAUCAAGAAAAUGAAGAGAUUGCCCUUGAAAUCCCAAAUUUCCAGAUUUCUGGAAAAUAUGACUUCCAUUCUGUCCGGUUUUAGUGCUCCAUGUUAGAGGCCGAAUUAGCCUUAGGUUAAAACAUGAAAGUUGUAGGGAAUAAUGUUUUAGAGAUUCCUACAAAAUUUCAGCUCAAUCAGAGUAACGUAGCCUAUGCAAAGACUAAAUUACCCCUGCUGCCCUGUUUCUACUCGAAUUUGAUAAUUGCGUCUGUAAUUGGAUUAUUUUGGUUGGGAAUACUUCCGAAUUGGUUGUUGAUAUCUUCUGAUGAAUUGUAGCCGUGUAUCUUAGCUUUUAGAUGGCUUUGGAAUCACUUGGUUUGGACUUAGGUAGCCUGACUUAUGAUGUUUGAACCAGAAUGCGGUCUGUGAACAUGUUUUUACGGUUCUGGUGUGGUAUAUUGCAUUUUUGACCUAGUUACACUCGAAAUUGGACCGAGUGUCCUUAUUCAACAUUGUAACCUCUUAAGUCCUGAGUAUGCCUGCAAAAUAUCAGGUCAAACGGAGCAGUGUAGCCCGAGUUAUAGCCAAAACACUUGAACCUGGUUUGGACACUAGAUUGGGUGCGUUUUGAAUUUCAGCCUCUGACCGUGUGUUUUUUCGUUUUGAUAAUGUACGAUCUGGGUGUUGACUCUUUCAUAAAAAAUGUAGAUCUUGAUUUUAGCUUCGAAUUGGUAUAAAGUGCGUCGAAAUCCGAGUUUCGUAGCUCCCGUUAUGACCGAAACAAGAUUUAUCGUCAGAACUGCCUUUGAAUCUGGACAGUUCUGAUGGGUACUUUGGCACUCCAUUUUCGUUCUGUUCUGAAUAGAUUCAGGUCUUAGCCAAAACAUCAAAGUUUUAGCCUUAUGUCUCAGCUUUCUAAUGCCUUUAGAAUUUCCUGAUUUGGAUUUGUGAGCUGGGAGUUAUGGUCCAGCAAACAACCCUGUUCAUCACCCUAAGACGUAAAUUUCUGGUAUUGUUUUUUACAAUUUCGACCUGCUUCCAUUCAGAUCUAGAUUAAAGUUUCUUCUGGGGAUUUGUAGCCCUUUCUCAUAGUUUCGAAACGGUAUCUCGUUCACUUUGAUCCGACAUUCCUAGCCUAAUCUUUGAUCAAAACGGUUUGAGAUGGCAGAUUUGGCCGUUUCCUUUUGCCGUUCCGCGCACUUGCAUGUGCCGAUUUUGCCGUUUCCAUACUUACGUGUGUCGGCUUUUGCCGUUUUGCUUGUUUUGGGUCUGUUAGUAGUCGUUUGUGAUAUAAUGUGAUAAAAUUUUUAUUUUAGACCGUGGUGAGCUAGGCGGAGCCGGUGGGGCCCACUACUAGCCAACACACGAAGUGAUUUCCGCUUUUGUACUACUUUUGUAUUUUGGGUAAGUAUUCAGGCCGCUCUUGUGUGUUAGUUGCUUAUGUGUUUCGAUAUGUAUGAAGAGGGUACUUAGGCGAGGGUGUACUUUAUCGCACUCGACCUAAACCCUAAAUUUGCGCAGAUAUUUGUACAUGGCUUGUGUAUAUGAGCAAUUUUGGAACUAAAACCCUUGAGCUUGUGGCUCGGGAUGAUUUUUGAAUAAUUUUGUGAAGUUUGUGAGUUUGGGGCCCGAUCUCAAUACCUAGAUGGACUAUUCGAGCCGGUUAGGGUUUGGUCGAAAUCAGUCCAACUUGGUUUGAGGUCUCCAAGUUUGUGAAUCCGGUUCACCGAGUAUGUGGACCAAGUUUGUGACCCGAGCCUGUGACUCAAGCUCAAGUUUGUGAUUUCGUUCGCCCGGGCAAGUUUGUGAGGUGACUGGCCAGUGAGGGUGAUAAGGUGUUCGGUGGGUGUGCAAGUGGAGUUCUACGGACCUUAUUUGUGGUCGACGGAGUGUCGGCAGGAGGUCACGCAUGGCAAACGACUUGGUUUUGGAGCCAACCUGUAUCCUUCCUUUGUAUUGUUACUUUUGCACUUGACUUGGCAUUUUGUGAAAUAAUUGCUUAUCUAAAUGUGAAAUUUACGCUUUUACCCCUGUUUACUUACUAAGCAUAUAACUUACCUCUUUCCUUUUGUUUUCCUUAGCAGGGGGCCGACGCGGGGAUCGCACGGGAAGGUGUUUAGUGUUUCGAUUAUAGAUGAGUGAACUUGUACUUGUUUUAGGUUGACUAGUAAGAUGUAUAUAUUUGUUGUGGUGGUUAUAGUUCUCAGCUUUUCUAGGUUUUACUUUCUGGUACUCGUGAUAUGUAAUUCUUGGUGAAUUGGAUGUAAUAUCUAAGAUUUAUCUUAAAAUUCAUUUGAGGACUGUAGUGUUUGAGUGAGUCCCGGCGAGAGUUCCGAGGCGACCCGCCGAACCCUGGGGUACGCCCUAGGGAGAGGUGGGGCCGUCACAGGUGGUAUCAGAGCUUAGGUUUCAGAUCUCUGUAGUGUAUCCUAGGCUUGAAGUUUAGGAUACCGGACUGUGGGAUUUGAUUUUAUUUGAAAGUUAAGCAAUUGAGGGAUAAAACCUAUAGCUGCUUUGCGUGGUCUCUGCACGGGGUGAGCCUGGAUGAAGUGGUGAAUAAAUAUGAAGGACUAGAUGCUCGGUCAAGCAUAAGUUAUGGAUCAUAAAUGUUAUAGGCCUUAAAUCUUUCUCAUGGUAUCUGAGGACCAUAGGUAGGUACGUCAGGUAGGAAUUUCGUUUGUAGAUAGUUUACUCUUGGGACUGCAGCUUGAGAUGUGAAUUAUCUUAUUUCGGAUUCUUGUGCCUGAGUAUUCCAGAGUUGAGGCGCUGCUAAGUACUUGAGAUUUGCAUUUUGGGAACAUGAACAAGUUUUGUCUGGCUAGAGUGAGUACAAGAGAUCAACGGGCACUUUGGGAAGUGGAGUAAGAAACCGGACGAGGGUGGUUUUCACUGAGUGUGAGACGACAAGUCGCGUUUCUUUCAUUUUGCCCUUGCAUUGUCCCUACAUGUCAUUUACUUGUGGUAUGUUAAUACCUGCAUAUAUAGUACUUGCUGCACUUGACUUUGUCUAACUUGAAAUGUCUCUUGGUGUAUAUGGUGCAUUAUAUUGCGUACAUUUUGGCGUGACUUGUAUAUAUAUGUAUGUGACGGCCCCACCUCUCCUGAGGGCGUACCCCAGGGUUCGGCGGGCCGCCCGCCCAACUCUCGCCAGGACUCAGUCGUUCACUACAGUCCUCAAAUAAAUACAAUACAAAUCUCAAGUAUACAUCAAAUGGUCCACAAAUACACAUCCGUCUCCAAUAAUUACAUGUCACAAAUGCAGCGGAAACUAAUCCUAAAUAUACAUAAAAUAAUUCCAAAUCCAAAAUUGUACAAAAUUUAGGCCAUCCAUACACGUGCACAAGUACUACAAGUCCUUCCUUCGCCACGAGUCCUGUGGAGGGGAAUAAAAUAGUUUUUGGGGUAAGCUAAAAGCUCAGCGAGUAACCAGAAAAUCAUUAAUCAAAUCGGUUUCACAAUAGUUCAUUUCAAUGAUGUCAUAUAGCAAUGAUGUCAUAAAUCAAAUGAUAAAUCCGGAAACAACUACAACAUUUGCAAAACAGUAAAUAUGGAUUAUCAAUAAUUCAAGAAACAUUUACAAUGGAAAGCGAUAGUAACAUUCAUGAAAGGAUACAUUCAUUCUCCUGACAUUUGCUCGCUCAUUUGGUCAUUCAUUUCAUUUCAUUCACCCCGUCCCUGGCUUUUGGCCAGGCUCCACCAACCUACAUAGGUAAUACUCGAGUAUACCAAACGUUCACCCAAGUUCCUAAUCGCCUGACCGAGUCCGCUUCUGGCUCAAGACGACCGGUAACAAGGGACAAUGGUCAGUUCAGCCCAAAAGGCUUACAUUCAUGCGCAAGUAACAUUUCAAUCGAAAAUUUCACAUUUAUCGAGAUCGAGUGCGAUAAAGUACACACUCGCCUCGAAAACUCGUUUUGGAAAUCAUUAUAAGCGCUUAACACGUUAUCAACCAAAAUACAAGUCAUGAAAUCAAGAAAUAUAGCAAACAAGGCACACUCAAAUGCCAGCACACAUGAUAUGCAAGAAAACAUUUCAAAAGUAACUUUGGAAACAGUUCAAAAGUAAAUAAUGUAAGAAACGGUUCAUAAAUAACUUUGGAAGUAGUUUGAGGUCACUCACCUCCAUGGCUCAGAAACCAUCCAUCAUAUAUCAUUGCUUUGCUCAAAUCCAAGUCUUAGAUCACAAACUCAAUGCAAUCAAACCCUUUAAAACUUCGGACAGCACUUCCCCUAAAUUUGCUUAUUUUCCCAGCCAUCAUGGCUUCAUUAUAUCUUCAGCCAGUCCCAAAGGUACACAUACAACAACAAGUUCAUCCAAUAGCCAUUCAGCAAGCUCCAAGUAAUACGAGUACAAUUCAAGCUAGGGAGAAGUUCGGAAAUGAAAGUUAAGCUCAAAAUCAGAAAAACAGUUUUGGACGUCAUUUUGCGGUAAUGGUACCAAAGGCGCUACGAUUGUCGGAUGAAGGUGCAAGAUACACCGUUUCGAAACUAAGAGAUAGGGCUACAAUAUUGCAGAAGAUCACUCAACCCAGUUUCGAGUGUAACAAGGUCAAAAAUGCAAGAAACUAUACCAGAAUGACAAAAACAGCUUCACAGGAUGCAUUCUAGCGGAAACAUCAUAACUCAGGCUCUCCAAGUCCAAAUCCAGAAAUUCCAAAACCAGCUGAAAGCUAAGAAACAGGGCUACAAUACAUCAGAAGACCUCAACAACCAAUUCCAAAGCAUUCCCAACCAAAAUAACCCAUUACAGAAGCAAUUCCCAAAUUCGGGUAAAACCAGGGCAGCAAGGGUAAUUCCGUCUUUUCUCAAGCUACGCUACUCCGAUUAACCUGAAAUGUUGCAAGAACCUCUAAAAUAUCAUUCCCGAUAACUUUCAUGAAGACCACCUAGUCCAGUUCUCACCCUAACUAGGUCAAAUUUUUCAAAACAACUCCAGAUUUUUCAGUUCGAAAUUCACUGCAGAAAUCAACAAGCAGUCUUGCUUUAUUCACUCAUAUCUCAGCACACACAACUCCAAUUCAGGUAAUUCCAAAGCCAUUUGAAAGCUAAGAUACAGGGCUAGAAUGCUUAAGAAGACAUCAACAACUAAAUCAGUAGUAUUCCCAGUCAAACUAACCAAUUACCAAAGCUGAUUAUCAGUUUCGGACAGAAACAGAGUAGCAGGGGUAUUUCGGUCUUUUCACAGGCUACCGAGCUCAGAUUGAGUUAAAAAUUUACAGGAAACUAGAAAACAUCAUUAUCUACAACUUUCAUAUUUUGUGCUAAGGCCAAUUCGACCUCUAACCUGGUCAAACAGAAACGGGCAGAACUGAACCAUAAGAAAUCUCAAUUCUGGAAUUUUCUCAACAACCAUAGAAAUCACCAAAUCUUCCACACAAACCCACAAAAGUGAUAUAUAAACCAUCAUUAACCCUUAUUAGCAUCUUACAACAUCAAAAACAACAUUUUCUACCCAAUUGCUAUAAGCUUUUACAAGAGUUCAAGGCUGCUUUACCUUUCAAAGGUGGGUUUACAAGGCUGCACUUCAAGAACCAAGUUCAUUAGCUUUCUUUUGCUCUAACUCCCAAACUUGUUGGAUGGGUUGAACAAAAUCAGAAUUUUUUUCUUGUUCUUUCUCUUAUUUUCUCUUGGUUUUUCUCCCCUCUUUUCUCCCUAGAGCUGGCUGAAAUUCUCCUUGUU
rnacentral:lncRNA from 1 species